rnacentral:tRNA from 2 species
GCCUCCAUAGCACAAUGGAUAGUGCAGCGGACUUCUAAGCCGUUGAUGUUGGUUCGAUUCCAGCUGGAGGCACUA